rfam:Solanum tuberosum cultivar DM 1-3 516 R44 scf00290_14, whole genome shotgun sequence.
GUGAGAUGGAAUCAACAUUUGGACAUGUAAUUUCAUGCUGAUUCCAUCUCACGA